AUGACCCACACAAUUUCUUCCUUCCAAUUUCUUCUUCUCUUCUCAUUCUCAUCUCACAGUGUUCCCUUUCUUCUCCGAACAGUCGCCGCCGCCGCCACCACAGUCGUCCCUCGUGCCCAUCCCGUGCCCGCCUCCACUGUUGUCACUCUUCCCUUUCUUCGAUCGUCUUUGUGCUUGCCACCACCAUCUGUAGUCCUUUUCUUCGACCACGUUCGUGUCCAACCCUCACCACCACCGUUGCACGUCCACAUCUGUCUCACAGGCUCAAAUCUAGUCUGCUUGUGGCUAGAUAUGUUGCAAGAGCGCCGAUUAGCUGUCAUUCGAAAGGUUCAAUAGUCUGUGAUGCUUCCUGAUGGAACUCCAGCGUCGGUGGCAGCCGCAGCAAGGCUUAAUCAACGACAGGGGUAGCAUAGUGUAUUUUGAUCAUAUAGUAGUAAGUUCUUCUUUUGCUUUAUUUCAUGGAGUCGAGAAGUUGUCAAGUGGUUGUUUAAGAGUACUGGGUUGUUAUCCUUUUGUUUAGGAGGUGUGUUUCUAGUGUGUAUAACUCUUGAUUCUCUUUAAUCAUUUCAAAUUAGCCAGAAACAAUUUUCCAUGAAGAAGAUGAUUUACAUUAAUUUUAGGUUAUUAACUCUAGCUCACAUAAUAAUAAUACUAAGAAGAAGGUGGUUUAAUAAUGAUACAAUAUUGUAAAACAAAAAGUUAUUUUGUUUGCAUAUAAAUCUGGUAUGGAUGAUGAUGACUUAUUUCUUAUACUUUCAUUAGGCUUUUCGACUUGGUAUGGUGCUUCUUGUUUUGAAUGCUUCUUAGAUAUUUUCAUUUAUCUUGUUUGUUAAUUUUCAGAUUCUUUUCUUGGGUUUGUAGGCUACUUUGGCUGAUUCCUUUCUAGCAUAUCUUGAUGAACUCUCUAAUGUAAACAAGUUUCAGGUUUCUAAAGGCUUUUUACUUCUCCGUGUAAAUGAAGUAAUAACUAUGUUGGUUGUUAUGACCAAAACCUUCAGAUUUGUAUGGAAAACAUACAUGGAAAAUAGAGAAAUUUUCUCAACUUACCAAACGAGAACUUCGAAGUAAUGCUUUUGAGGUUGGAGGCUAUAAAUGGUUGGAGCCAUUUUGCACAGUUUACAAUAGCAGUGGUGAAUAAGGAUCCAAAGAAAUCAAAAUAUUCUGAUACAUUACAUCGGUUCUGGAAGAAAGAACAUGACUGGGGAUGGAAAAAAUUCAUGGAGCUCUCAAAAUUGUUAGAUGGUUUUAUUGACGCUGACACUCUCAUAAUAAAGGCACAAGUUCAAGUGAUUAGAUGGCUUCAGUGAUUGCUGCAAAUCUUUUAACAAGCAUAAAACUCAUAGAUUUGUUAUGCGUUGUAGUGACGUGGGUGUUUUCUAUUAUAAAACUUUAUGCUAGAUUUGCAAGACAUCACAAAAGCAAGAAAGAUACCGAAGCGUGCUUUGCCUAUUAUUUGCUUCAGAGAAGUCAGCCCCCCAUUGUCGGAUGCUUCAAACACUUCCAUUAUAGAUUCAGUGUUGCAGAAGAGCUGAUCAUUUCAGCAGCAGACAUGAGGCUCAACUUAACUCAGUCAGAUAACUCUAGUAAUGUCAGUGGGAUUAGUUUGAUGGGCUUUGCUUGUCUUGGUUCAAUUCCUUCAGCUGCCCUGCAUGAUUAAUAAUUCUAAACUUCUGAUUUUGAGACUGAAGAGUUGAAUAGGGAGCGUUUUGAAUUUUUUACCUCUUGAAAUGAUUUCAUUUUCAUUUCUAUUUUGAUCUCUUAGAAGCCAAUACCUCUGGUUUGUUAGGACUUUGUCUGCCUCUUCUUAAAUAUAUUAGUGAUUGAAAGUAAUU